CCUACGGGUGGCAGCAGUGAGGAAUAUUGGUCAAUGGACGAGAGUCUGAACCAGCCAAGUAGCGUGAAGGAUGACUGCCCUAUGGGUUGUAAACUUCUUUUAUAUGGGAAUAAAACGUUCCACGUGUGGGAUUUUGUAUGUACCAUAUGAAUAAGGAUCGGCUAACUCCGUGCCAGCAGCCUCGGUAAUACGGAGGGACCGAGCGUUAUCCGGAUUUAUUGGGUUUAAAGGGAGCGUAGGUGGAUUGUUAAGUCAGUUGUGAAAGUUUGCGGCUCAACCGUAAAAUUGCAGUUGAAACUGGCAGUCUUGAGUACAGUAGAGGUGGGCGGAAUUCGUGGUGUAGCGGUGAAAUGCUUAGAUAUCACGAAGAACUCCGAUUGCGAAGGCAGUUCACUGGACUGCAACUGACACUGAGGCUCGAAAGUGUGGGUAUCAAACAGGAUUAGAUACCCUGGUAGUC
rnacentral:rRNA from 1 species